GGAGAGCUGUCCGAGUGGUUGAAGGAGCACGCCUGGAAAGUGUGUAUAGGUUAAUAGCUUAUCAAGAGUUCGAAUCUCUUGCUCUCCGCCA
rnacentral:tRNA from 1 species